GUAUGCGCGUGCGCGCCGGGCGGGGACGGAGACGGAGAGCCCGGCGCGGAGCCGCCGCGGUGCGCGCGCUCUUGGAGAGGGCCCGGCGGUGUGCGCACACCUGGAGAGGAGCCGGAGGUGUGCACGUGCCGGUGUGCGCGCGCACUGGGAGAAGAGUUGGCAGUGUGUACGUGCCGGUGUGCGUGCACCCUCGGAGAGGGGUCGGAGGCGGCAGCCGAAAGGCCCCACCGCGGCCCUUGGACCCCGGUGCGCAGGGCAGCCAGCCUCUCGGUGAGAGCAGGGGCUCAGGAAGAGGCAGGAACGGAACCUUAAAAGCCCGGCGAAUUCCAGAUUCUGGUCAUUCAACAGUAUUCACGUGGGACAGCCACCCCCAACCUUCUGAGUAAUGUCUGUACAGAAAUCACUGUCGUGAAUGAACUAUGCUUGCGAACGAACUCACAAGAGCUCCCACAGCAGUGAGAGAGGCUCUGGUUUCCUUGGGAAAAGGGCAAAAAAUGGAUCGGGGUUUUUAUUUUUUGCCUCCUGCUGAACACCGGUUUCUGUGUUCAGUUAGCAUAAUUUCUAAAAUUUUUGUUGAAGAUCCAAACGUUUGUGGCCACUGCCCUGCCUGGAGGUCUCUAGACUGGGCUGCAGAAAUGCCACCUUCUUGAUGAGCACUGAGCCUGUGACUGCGCGGCCGCCCAGCCACCCAGCACCCAUCUGUAUCUGGGGCGCGUGUUGUCAGGAAGCGCGACUCGGUGCUUCUGUCCGGGCGCUGAAUACGCACCUCUCGGGAGCUGGCGUUCAGCCGUGAGUCCUCAGGCACCGCGCGGAAGCGGUCCUGUUCGGUGUUUAUGAGAACAAAAUGAUUAUAUCCUUGCCAGGAAAAGUCCUCGUCUCCCCAGAGCCCCCUUUUUCUUUGUAUGCCUGCCCUGUUGAGUCUCAGGGCGUGACACAGACCCUACCCCCACACCCUUACCCCCACUGAGCUGUCCUUUACAGAGAGAAUGUUUUCUAAUCCCUUGAAAACUGUCAUGCUGAGUGUUUGUUCAGUUUGCCUUUGGUUCCCGCCUUGAUGACACUGCUCCUGUCUUCAGCCGCGUCGCUUUCCAUCUUCCAGGGCUGCCAAGAAGGGGGGCAGACAGGGGCUCAUGGAAGUCAUGUAGGAGAAUUCCCAAUAUGGACAAGGGACAUUUUCUCUUUUUUGGUAAAAUCUACAGGUAUCUUUAGAAAACUUUGUUCUGCUUAUUGUGUGGAUCAUAAAAUAGAAGUAAAUCAGUGUGCUUACUCAACUUGAUGGUACAUCCCUGGCCCUCUCCGGAGAGGUCACUGCUCCUCAGCCCCGGUGACAGGUGCUGCAGCCCCCACCCCUCCACCUCCACACACGAGGCACCCUUCUCGUCCUGUGUCAUGAAUUAUUUUGAAAACAUCCGGCCAUAUUCAGAGUCCUCCUGGGUACGAUGCUCCAAGCAUUGACUCACAUCUUUUUUUGUUUGUUUGUUUACAAAUAGUUUAUUGUCAAGUUGGUUUCCAUAUAACACAUCUUAAAAGACUCGCACGCUCGUUUGCAGGCUGAAGCCCCAGCCCUUUGGCAAGAACCCCACAGACUGAGUCUAGACCGAAGCAUCUAAUUCACUCCGAUUAUCUCCCUAGCCUGUGUACUGCUUAGACGCUUGCCCUUUACUCUUUCCCUGCAGUGUUCUCUGACUUCUGCGGUGAGAGAAAUACCCAUUGGUCUUCCCCACUUAACUCCACAGUCCUAGAGGCCUCGUCUGUGAGACUUCACACUGCCCUGGCUCAGAAAGUCGACAAGAUUGGGGGCGCCUGGGGGAUCCGUCGGUUAAGCAUCUGACUCUUGAUUCCAGAUCAGAAUCCAGAUGCCAUCACGGGGCGUGAAAGCACCAGAGCCUAUGGCCGUUUUGGGAAACUCGCUUUUAUGUUCCACUGAAAGCCUUCAGUCACUUCCCUGCUACCUGCCCGCUCACCUUGCAGGCCAGGGAGGGGCCUCGCAGCCCACCUGCCCCGGUGAAGCGGGGAGGAAGAGCCAGACGGCCUCGGAUAAUCUCAGACCCUUUCGACGCUCAAAUUCCUGUAGCCGAGAAAUAGACGUGAGGAGUUAAUGCAGAUGCGGCCUCCAGCAUGCAAGUGUUUGCCACACAGCUUUACUGGAGACGCUGAGGGUCCUUGGGGACGCAGAGGAGCCAGUGUUGCCACCCCAGUGAAGUCGUUUUCCAUUCUUUCACUUCCACUGUGGACGUGUCCUUGGAUCAAGAGUGGCACUUUUCGAGACAGCAGGUGCUUGGGUCCUGCCUGUUGCCCCCUCUGCCAAUCUAUGACUUUUGAUGGAUUUUCAGCACAGUUUUUCUGGAUACAGAAUUCUGGAUCGGCAGGUUGUAUGCCGUUGUUUCCUGGCUCUAAAUAUGUCGCCAUGCUGCCUCUGGCCUCCAUGACUUCUGAUGAGAAACUGGCUCUUAGUCUCACUGAGGAUCCCUUGUAAGGGAGGAGUCACAUCUCAGAGCUCUCAAGAUUUUCUGACUUUGUCUUUGAGUUUGAUUAUCAUGUGUUUCAGUGUGAGGCUCUUUGAGCUUACCCUGCUUUGAGUUAAUUGAGCUUCUCGGAUUUAUACUCAUAUCUUUCCUCAAAUUAUACACCAUGACCAAGUGGGGUUUAUUCCAGAGAUGCAACAUUUUUUCAGUGUAAGAAA